UCAUUUGUGUUCCGUAGAGGAUCACUGGAUUCAGCGGUUCAUCGAUCUGUUCCAUAAUCCUAAUGAUUAAAUGUUCAUACGACGAUUGAGAGAGGUGGGAAAUGGAAUCGAUCGAUAAACCUCUGCAUCCAGUGUUCUUCCUGCUUAGCACGAUCUUGUUUGUGAUUC
rnacentral:pre_miRNA from 1 species